rnacentral:rRNA from 1 species
UACGGAGGGGACUAGCGUUGUUCGGAAUUACUGGGCGUAAAGCGCACGUAGGCGGAUUUGUAAGUCAGGGGUGAAAUCCCGGGGCUCAACCUCGGAACUGCCUUUGAUACUGCAAAUCUCGAGUCCGGAAGAGGUGAGUGGAAUUCCUAGUGUAGAGGUGAAAUUCGUAGAUAUCGGGAGGAACACCAGUGGCGAAGGCGGCGACCUGGACGGACAUUGACGCUGAGACGCGAAAGCGUGGGGAGCAAACAGG